UAGCUGUAGUCGAUGACGCUCCUGCCUU
rnacentral:sRNA from 1 species